UCCACAGUAGCUCAGUGGUAGAGCUAUCGGCUGUUAACCGAUCGGUCGUAGGUUCGAGUCCUACCUGUGGAGCC
rnacentral:tRNA from 1 species